AGCGGCGGACGGGUGAGUAACACGUGGGUAACCUGCCCAAGAGACUGGGAUAACACCUGGAAACAGAUGCUAAUACCGGAUAACAACACUAGACGCAUGUCUAGAGUUUGAAAGAUGGUUCUGCUAUCACUCUUGGAUGGACCUGCGGUGCAUUAGCUAGUUGGUAAGGUAACGGCUUACCAAGGCAAUGAUGCAUAGCCGAGUUGAGAGACUGAUCGGCCACAUUGGGACUGAGACACGGCCCAAACUCCUACGGGAGGCAGCAGUAGGGAAUCUUCCACAAUGGACGAAAGUCUGAUGGAGCAACGCCGCGUGAGUGAAGAAGGGUUUCGGCUCGUAAAGCUCUGUUGGUAGUGAAGAAAGAUAGAGGUAGUAACUGGCCUUUAUUUGACGGUAAUUACUAGAAAGUCACGGCUAACUACGUGCCAGCAGCCGCGGUAAUACGUAGGUGGCAAGCGUUGUCCGGAUUUAUUGGGCGUAAAGCGAGUGCAGGCGGUUCAAUAAGUCUGAUGUGAAAGCCUUCGGCUCAACCGGAGAAUUGCAUCAGAAACUGUUGAACUUGAGUGCAGAAGAGGAGAGUGGAACUCCAUGUGUAGCGGUGGAAUGCGUAGAUAUAUGGAAGAACACCAGUGGCGAAGGCGGCUCUCUGGUCUGCAACUGACGCUGAGGCUCGAAAGCAUGGGUAGCGAACAGGAUUAGAUACCCUGGUAGUCCAUGCCGUAAACGAUGAGUGCUAAGUGU
rnacentral:rRNA from 1 species